rnacentral:rRNA from 1 species
UUGAACGCUGGCGGCAUGCCUUACACAUGCAAGUCGAACGGCAGGCACGGGAGCAAUCCUGGUGGCGAGUGGCGAACGGGUGAGUAAUAUAUCGGAACGUGCCCAGUCGUGGGGGAUAACGUAGCGAAAGCUACGCUAAUACCGCAUACGAUCUAUGGAUGAAAGCGGGGGAUCGCAAGACCUCGCGCGAUUGGAGCGGCCGAUAUCAGAUUAGGUAGUUGGUGAGGUAAAGGCUCACCAAGCCGACGAUCUGUAGCUGGUCUGAGAGGACGACCAGCCACACUGGGACUGAGACACGGCCCCAGACUCCUACGGGAGGCAGCAGUGGGGAAUUUUGGACAAUGGGCGCAAGCCUGAUCCAGCAAUGCCGCGUGCAGGAUGAAGGCCUUCGGGUUGUAAACUGCUUUUGUACGGAACGAAACGGUGAGCUCUAAUACAGUUUGCUAAUGACGGUACCGUAAGAAUAAGCACCGGCUAACUACGUG